rnacentral:rRNA from 1 species
UAAGGAAUAUUGGUCAAUGGACGCAAGUCUGAACCAGCCAUGCCGCGUGAAGGAUUAAGGUCCUCUGGAUUGUAAACUUCUUUUAUCUGGGACGAAAAAAGGCGAUUCUUCGUCACUUGACGGUACCAGAUGAAUAAGCACCGGCUAACUCCGUGCCAGCAGCCGCGGUAAUACGGAGGGUGCAAGCGUUAUCCGGAUUCACUGGGUUUAAAGGGUCGUAGGCGGGCAGGUAAGUCAGUGGUGAAAUCCUAGAGCUUAACUCUAGAACUGCCAUUGAUACUAUCUGUCUUGAAUAUUGUGGAGGUAAGCGGAAUAUGUCAUGUAGCGGUGAAAUGCUUAGAUAUGACAUAGAACACCUAUUGCGAAGGCAGCUUACUACGCAUAUAUUGACGCUGAGGCACGAAAGCGUGGGGAUCAAACAGGAUUAGAUACCCUGGUAGUCCACGCCCUAAACGAUGAUUACUCGACAUUUGUGAUACACUAUAAGUGUCUGAGCGAAAGCAUUAAGUAAUCCACCUGGGAAGUACGACCGCAAGGUUG